UAGGGAAUCUUCCACAAUGGACGCAAGUCUGAUGGAGCAACGCCGCGUGAGUGAAGAAGGCUUUUCGGGUCGUAAAACUCUGUUAUUGAAGAAGAACGUGCGUGACAGUAACUGGUCAUGCAGUGACGGUAUUCAAUCAGAAAGUCACGGCUAACUACGUGCCAGCAGCCGCGGUAAUACGUAGGUGGCAAGCGUUGUCCGGAUUUAUUGGGCGUAAAGCGAGUGCAGGCGGUCUUUUAAGUCUGAUGUGAAAGCCUUCGGCUUAACCGAAGAAGGGCAUCGGAAACUGGGAG
rnacentral:rRNA from 1 species